rnacentral:rRNA from 1 species
GGGCCCGCACAAGCGGUGGAGUAUGUGGUUUAAUUCGAUGCAACGCGAAGAACCUUACCAGGGUUUGACAUCCUGCGAAAUCUCUUGGAAACGAGAAGUGCCUUCGGGAACGCAGUGACAGGUGGUGCAUGGCUGUCGUCAGCCCGUGUCGUGAGAUGUUGGGUUAAGUCCCGCAACGAGCGCAACCCACGUCUUUAGUUGCCAGCAUUUAGUUGGGCACUCUAGAGAGACUGCCGGUGAUAAACCGGAGAAGGUGUGGAUGACGUCAAGUCAUCAUGCCCCUUACAUCUGGGCUACACACGUACUACAAUGCUACGGACAAAAGGGCUGCAAGUUCGCGAGGACAAGCAAAUCCCAUAAACGUGGCUC